rnacentral:rRNA from 1 species
CUGGCGGCGCGCCUAACACAUGCAAGUCGAGCGAGGCCGUGGCUUCGGCCACGAGUCGAGCGGCGAACGGGUGAGUAACGCGUGGGUAACCUACCCAGGAGUGGGGGAUAGCUCCGCGAAAGUGGGGGUAAUACCGCAUUCGCGCACCGGGCCACAAGGCCUGGUGUGGAAAGGCUGGGAUCUUCGGACCAGUCGCUCCUGGAUGGGCCCGCGUUCGAUUAGCUAGUUGGUAGGGUAACGGCCUACCAAGGCUACGAUCGAUAGCCGGCCUGAGAGGGUGACCGGCCACAUUGGGACUGAGACACGGCCCAGACUCCUACGGGAGGCAGCAGUGGGGAAUAUUGGGCAAUGGGCGGAAGCCUGACCCAGCGACGCCGCGUGGGGGAUGAAGGCCCUCGGGUUGUAAACCCCUGUCAGGGGAGACGAAAGCCCAGCAUCUAAUAGGUGCUGGGUUUGACGGUACCCCCAAAGGAAGCCCCGGCUAACUCCGUGCCAGCAGCCGCGGUAAUACGGAGGGGGCGAGCGUUAUUCGGAAUUACUGGGCGUAAAGCGCGCG